rfam:Oryza rufipogon genomic scaffold, chr04
AUUACUUGGUGCUUUAAAUUUGAGUUUGUAAUGUUUGAUCAUUCGUCUUAUUUAAAAUUUUUUUUGGAAUUAUUGUUUAUUUUGUUUGUGCCUUGCUUUAUUAUCAAAAGUACCGUAAGUAUGACUUAUACUUUUUUAUAUUUGCACCAAUUUUUCAAAUAAAACGAAUGGUCAAACGUUGUAAGCAAAAAGUCAAAGCGACAUUUAUU